GUUUUCCUUGUUGCAAUUUUAGAAGGUGUCCAGUGUGAGGUGCAACUGGUGGAGUCUGGGGGUGGCUUGGUCCAGCCUGGGGGGUCCCUGAGACUCUCCUGUGCGGCCUCUGGAUUCACCUUCAGCAGCUAUGGCAUGGAUUGGGUCCGCCAGGCUCCAGGGAAGGGGCUGGAGUGGGUCGCAUACAUUAGUUAUAAUGGGGGUAGCACAUACUACGCAGACUCCGUGAAGGGCCGAUUCACCAUCUCCAGAGACAACGCCAAGAACUCGCUGUAUGUGCAGAUGAGCAGCCUGAGAGCCGAGGACACGGCCGUGUAUUACUGUGCGAGAGACACAGUGAGGGGAGGCCCCUGUGAGCCCGGACACAAACCUCCUGCGGGGGCCCCGAGACCGCCAGGGGGCGCCCGGACGCUGUGCACGGGGCUGUCUCGGGGCAGGUGCAGGUGCUGCUAA